rnacentral:lncRNA from 10 species
GGAUAUUGGCCUCUAGCUGCAUCCACAUUGCUGCAAAGGACAUAAUUUUCUUCCUUUUUUAAGGCUGCAUAGUAUUCUAUGGCAGCUCUACAUUGUAAACAACAGGGUGGUCUUCUUUCUUCAAGAUCAUGAAAUGAUGACUCAACUUUUUUUUCUAAUAGACAUUUUUUUCUAAUACUUUAAUAAUAUUACACUAACACUGAAAUCUUUGAUCUUGGUUUAUUGUGGUAUGAAGUGUGGUUUCAAGUGUGUAUGUUUCCAGAUGGCCACCCAGUUUUGUCAACAUAAUUUUUAAAUAUAUAUAUCCUUAUGUACUAAUUUGAUAAUUGUUAUAUAAAUAUAUUUGGGUUUAUUUCUCAACUUUUCAUUCUUUUCCAUUGGUCAGUCUAUUCAUGUAACAGUAACAUAGUUUUUACUAUCAAAAUUUGUAUUUUAAUAUCUAGCAAUGCCAGUGACUCUUAUAUCUCUUAUUUUUUUAAAGAUUUUCUGGCUAUUCUUGCUUUUUAGGUGGUGCAUGUAAACUUUGAAUUGAAUUAUGUAGUUGCAGAUGGACAAAAACCUUUUGGUAUUUUCACUGGGUUCACACUGAACUUAAAUUGACUUAUGUAAGAUAUUGAGUCUUAAAUAAAUAGUAAUUUUACUUCUAGUUGUUUAAUUUCACUUCCGUAUCCAUCAUGAGAAUUUGAGCUAUUUUCAAAAAUAUUGUCUUGAAUCUUCCUUGUUAAGUAUAUUUACUGGAGUUAAAAUUUUUAUUGUAAUGAGAUCUUCUAUUUUAUCUUCCUUUUUAAUUAUAUCUUAUUUUGUUCUUUAAAUUAAUUUUGUACUUUAUUAUCUAUCUUACUACUUUUACUCACUGUGUGGGAUUUCAUCUUUCUACAAAGAUGAUAGGAUUGAUUGUGUAUUGGAAGGGUUGGGGAAUAAGAAAAAUUCUUGAGUAAAAUUAAUUUUCUUGUUAAAAGCAUUGGUAAAUAUCUCCAGUAGAAUGUUAAAUAGUUGUGAUGAAAAAGUGAUAUGUGUAUUUAUCCUGUUAAUAAAUAAUCUGCCA